GACAGAGGGUGCAAACGUUGUUCGGAAUUACUGGGCGUAAAGCGCGUGUAGGCUGCUCCGCAAGUCGGAUGUGAAAUCCCCAGGCUUAACCUGGGAACUGCAUCCGAUACUGGAUGGCUUGAAUCCGGGAGAGGGAUGCGGAAUUCCAGGUGUAGCGGUGAAAUGCGUAGAUAUCUGGAGGAACACCGGUGGCGAAGGCGGCAUCCUGGACCGGCAUUGACGCUGAGGAGCGAAAGCCAGGGGAGCAAAGCGGG
rnacentral:rRNA from 1 species